rnacentral:rRNA from 1 species
GAUGAACGCUAGCGACAGGCCUAACACAUGCAAGUCGAGGGGCAGCGCGGAGCAAGCUUGCUUGUUCUGGCGGCGACCGGCGCACGGGUGCGUAACAGGUGUGCAAUCUGUCCAUAAUCGGGGAAUAGCCCAGCGAAAGUUGGAUUAAUGCUCCAUGUGAGUUCUAGAGGCAUCUCUUUAAUUUGAAACGUAAGGAUUAUGGGUGAGCACGCUUCUGAUUAGGUAGUUGGUGAGGUAACGGCUCACCAAGCCGACGAUCAGUAGGGGUUCUGAGAGGAAGGUCCCCCACAUUGGAACUGAGACACGGUCCAAACUCCUACGGGAGGCAGCAGUGAGGAAUAUUGGUCAAUGGGCGAAAGCCUGAACCAGCCAAGUCGCGUGAAGGAUGAAGGUUCUAUGGAUUGUAAACUUCUUUUGUCUGAGGGUAAAAAAGCGGACGUGUCCGUUCUUGCAAGUAUCAGACGAAUAAGCAUCGGCUAACUCCGUGCCAGCCGCCGCGGUAAUAC